rnacentral:lncRNA from 1 species
CACACCUCCAGGGCUGAGCGCAGGGCACAGGCAAGGGACAAACUUUCUGCUGGUGUAAAAUGGGAGAGCCCCACCAGAUUCCCUGAGACCUCAUUGAUUUACAGCAUCUGAAACUAUGGCCCCUGCUAUGCUUAAAGUCUGAGACAGGCUUUCAUUGGACACAAAAGAAUACGCUUUGGGACGCUUUGAAACCUGUGCUGUGCGCAAGCUAGGAGCUAAACGAUUCCCAAGAUUUUCUGUGAGCCAUGUACAAGCACACAUUGUGCACUGAGUGCAGGCAGGCUUCACCAGACACACAGACACAGAAUACGCUCCCUGGGAUGUGCCAGGGUGAAGAAGAGAUUUCUAAGUCACUUCAUUUUUAUUGGAAACUCUGCGCCAGUCCUCCCACAUCCAGCGCAGUGUGCACUCCUCGUAACCGGCAUUGUCUGAACCUGUGGUAUUUUAAUAAACCUUCCUGCCAAGCCAAAGACACAUCACCUUUGUCCAGAGGAGGAUCCCAGCUGCAGCGAAGUCCAGAGAGUGUGAGCUCUGCUACAAAGCAACACAUAGAUCGGUGUUUGAGAGGAAAAGCCAUUCCUACUGAAAUAUCACCAAGCACACGAUGCGCCUUUAGCACGCUCCGGAGGCAUGAUCCCCAAAGCAAUCGAUCACAGUAAAAAGUGUGGAAAGGGGGUUUCAAAUCAGUGAAGCCAAAAGGGUCUUUUAACGUAUUUUUAGUGUCACAGGAUCAGGAUGGGUAAUUCAUCUCACAAGCGCACCACAUACAUGUCUUUCCCGCACAAAUUCCACCUUUUAAAAUGAUUUCAGCGCAAUCCUUUUAGCUGUUCUGUUAUUAACGCUAAUGAAGUUUCAGAGGUAAGGGGCUACAAAGCGAAUGAAGAGUACUGGGUUGUAUUUCGAAUAUCUGAAGUGUUGGUAAAAUGUACUACUGUGAAACAAUGUAUACUAAUUUCACCCGUGUUUAAAGUACGAAAAGAAAAUCUUCAUUCAUCAAAUGUAAGAGACAAUUGAAAUUAAAAUUUAAAAAAUAAAUAACCAAGCAUUCACUCUCGGUUUCCUUCG